rnacentral:rRNA from 1 species
CGCUGGCGGCGUGCCUAACACAUGCAAGUCGAACGAGAAAGUGGAGCAAUCCAUGAGUAAAGUGGCGACCGGGUGAGUAACACGUGACUAACCUACCUCCGAGUGGGGAAUAACUCCGGGAAACCGGGGCUAAUACCGCAUAACAUCGCAAGAUCAAAGCAGCAAUGCGCUUGGAGAGGGGGUCGCGGCUGAUUAGCUCGUUGGCGGGGUAACGGCCCACCAAGGCGAAGAUCGGUAUCCGGCCUGAGAGGGCGCACGGACACACUGGAACUGAAACACGGUCCAGACUCCUACGGGAGGCAGCAGUGGGGAAUUUUGCGCAAUGGGGGAAACCCUGACGCAGCAACGCCGCGUGGAGGAUGAAGCCCUUUGGGGCGUAAACUCCUUUCGACUCGGACGAUAAUGACGGUACGAGUGGAAGAAGCACCGGCUAACUCUGUGCCAGCAGCCGCGGUAAUACAGAGGGUGCGAGCGUUGUUCGGAAUUAUUGGGCGUAAAGGGCGCGUANGCGGUGCGGUAAGUCACCUGUGAAAUCUCCCGGCUUAACUGGGAGCCUGCAGGCGAAACUACCGUGCUGGAGUGUGGGAGAGGUGCGUG